CAUUUCCAGGUGUUACAGGAGGGAAACUACAAAUUUUACUUUCCAUUCGAGAUUUAAAAGUAUUCCAGUCGGCAUUCAAUAAUCUAUAUUUCAAACGAAUCCGUUUUCGAACAGUUUCGUGUUGAAAAGGCAGAGUGAUAAUAAGACUAUAAUGAUCACUUCCAAAAGUGUAUUUAAGGGCUUCCCAAGAAAGAUAUGGAGCAAGAUUUGGGGUGCAAAUUGAUAAGUCUGGAGCACUCUUUCCCUGUGAAGGAGAGGUGCGACGGGAAUUACGCUCCUGCAGUUCCACUGGAGAACUUUGGAAUUUAGGUCCAUUAUGGAGUGUUUUAGAGAUUUGUGCAAGAGAAUCAAUGAGAGCUGCGUUGGACGGUGGAAUUAAGUUUGACUGCGAAAGAAUCGACCUAAAGACACAGGAUGCAAAGAAACCCCAUCAUCAGGCGAUGUCAGCUUAUGCUGGAUGUGUAAUGUGUAAGGAGCUGCAUCAGAACUAAUAUAAGUCCUCCGAGCAAUUUGAGACUGUGGAGAGUGGUUGUCAGCGACAGUUGAAAUAUUUUGUGACGCAACAGUUUCAUUAAAUAAAGGCAAAGAGAUAUUCUGA
rnacentral:misc_RNA from 1 species